GAUGAACGCUGGCGGCGUGCCUAAUACAUGCAAGUCGAGCGAACAGACGAGGAGCUUGCUCCUCUGACGUUAGCGGCGGACGGGUGAGUAACACGUGGCUAACCUACCUAUAAGACUGGGAUAACUUCGGGAAACCGGAGCUAAUACCGGAUAAUAUAUUGAACCGCAUGGUUCAAUAGUGAAAGACGGUUUUGCUGUCACUUAUAGAUGGAUCCGCGCCGCAUUAGCUAGUUGGUAAGGUAACGGCUUACCAAGGCAACGAUGCGUAGCCGACCUGAGAGGGUGAUCGGCCACACUGGAACUGAGACACGGUCCAGACUCCUACGGGAGGCAGCAGUAGGGAAUCUUCCGCAAUGGGCGAAAGCUUGACGGAGCAACGCCGCGUGAGUGAUGAAGGUCUUCGGAUCGUAAAACUCUGUUAUUAGGGAAGAACAAAUGUGUAAGUAACUAUGCACGUCUUGACGGUACCUAAACAGAAAGCCACGGCUAACUACGUG
rnacentral:rRNA from 1 species